AUACGGGGCUUAAGUCUUGUAAUUGGAAUGAUGGGAAUUUAAACCUCUUCCAGAGUAUCAAUUGGAGGGCAAGUCUGGUGCCAGCAGCCGCGGUAAUUCCAGCUCCAAUAGCGUAUAUUAAAAUUGUUGCAGUUAAAAAGCUCGUAGUUGAAUUUCUGCUGCAUUGCUUGUGUCCCUCUGGGGUCUGUGCAUGUGGCUUUUUUCGGACGGAGUUUCUUUGUCUGAAUGUUUACUUUGAGAAAAUUAGAGUGCUCAAAGCAGGCUUUCGCCUUGAAUA
rnacentral:rRNA from 1 species